UACAGAGGUGGCAAGCGUUGUUCGGAAUUACUGGGCGUAAAGGGCGCGUAGGCGGCCAUCUAAGUCAGACGUGAAAUCCCCCGGCUUAACCUGGGAACUGCGUCUGAUACUGGAAGGCUUGAGUAUGGGAGAGGGAUGUAGAAUUCCAGGUGUAGCGGUGAAAUGCGUAGAUAUCUGGAGGAAUACCGGUGGCGAAGGCAGCCUCCUGGGCCAACACUGACGCUCAUGCACGAAAGCGUGGGGAACAAACAGG
rnacentral:rRNA from 1 species